rnacentral:rRNA from 1 species
UAUAUUGACUGUACAAAGGUAGCAUAAUCAUUUGUCAUUUAAUUGAUGACUUGUAUGAAAGAUUGGAUGAAAUAUUAACUGUCUCUUAAUUAACUAUAGAAUUUAAUUUUUUAAUUAAAAAGUUAAAAUAAAUUAAAAAGACGAGAAGACCCUAUAGAGUUUUAUAUAUAAUUUAAUUAAUAAAAUUAUUUAAUUUUAAAAAUUAAAAUUAAAUUAUUUAUUUUAUUGGGGUGAUAGAAAAAUAUAAUUAACUUUUUUUUAAAAAUAAACAUUUAUAAGUGGAUAAAUGAUCCAAUAUUAUUGAUUAUAAGAAAAAAUUACCUUAGGGAUAACAGCGUAAUUUUUUUUUUUAGUUCAAAUAAGAAAAAGAGUUUGCGACCUCGAUGUUGGAUUAAGAUAAAAUUUAAAUGCAGAAG